CCAGCCAUAGCUCAGUUGGUAGAGCGGAGGACUGUAGAGUUGGUGCAGAAAUCCUUAGGUCGCUGGUUCGAAUCCGGCUGGCUGGA
rnacentral:tRNA from 1 species